rnacentral:lncRNA from 1 species
AUUUUAUUGUCAUGUGAAGAGUGAAAACAAACUGAAUUUUCAAUUAAAAUGGAGAGACUAUAUGUCAGUAUUUGCCUGCCAGCCAGUCCCCUAACGAAAUCACUGUCAGGAUCGAUUACCAGCUUCAGACCAAGGAAGAGCCCCAGACACAGAUGAUGUUUCUCCAGGUGGCACGUUCUAAGCAUGCCCCACAUCAGUUCUGAUUUGAACACAUAAAUAUCAUCUCCCUCUUGGCUCCGAAACCCUCCUUCAUCACUGUGUGCCAAGCAAGGUUUGUGAGCGUCAUGCCAGUCAUCUUGGCAGCUCUGGUGAAUGGUGCUGAAUAUGAAUUCCUACACUUCAGAGUCUCUACCCUUUGAUGUAGACAGCGCAUGUUUCCAAGUUAAUCCAAGGUUGUGCAGGAGUGCAGCCCAGAACCCUAAAAUGGAUGGAAACUGAAACUUCAGCUGUUAUCUGUUGUUAUACAAAACAUGGACUGCUAGUCCAAGUCUUUACUUCCAUAUGUGGCUAGCUGAGGUGAGCGACACAGCAGAGACUCUCUACAAGACCGGGUCUUUUAUAAAUGGCCACAUUGUCUUCCACAAUGGUCGAACUAAUUUAUACUCCCACCAACAGAAG